rnacentral:rRNA from 1 species
CUUCGAAAGGAGUGACAAAACCGCAUAAGCUAGUGCUAGUUAGAGAGGCAUUAGUAAAAGAGCAAUCUACUUUAGGAGGGGCCUGCGGCCCAUCAGCUAGUUGGUGAGGUAAAAGCCCACCAAGGCGAAGACGGGUAGGGGACCUAAGAGGGUGAUCCCCCACAAUGGAACUGAAACACGGUCCAUACACCUGCGGGUGGCAGCAGUAGGGAAUAUUGCUUAAUGGGCGAAAGCCUGAAGCAGCAACGCCGCGUGAACGAAGAAAGCCUUCGGGUCGUAAAGUUCUUUUACGUGGGAUGAGGAAGGACAGUACCACGAGAAUAAGUCUCGGCUAACUACGUGCCAGCAGCCGCGGUAAAACGUAGGAGACGAGCGUUAUCCGGAUUUACUGGGCGUAAAGCGCGUGUAGGAGGCGCUACAAGUUGGAUGUGAAAGCUCCCGGCUUAACUGGGAGAGGUCGUUCAAGACUGUAGUGCUAGAGUGAGGCAGAGGUAGAUGGAACUCCGGGAGUAGUGGUGAAAUGCGUAGAUAUCCGGAAGAACACCAGAGGCGAAAGCGAUCUACUGGGCCUAAACUGACACUGAGACGCGAAAGCCAGGGUAGCAAACGGGAUUAGAGACCCCGGUAGUCCUGGCCGUAAACGAUGUAGACUGAGCGUUGGUUGGGUAAAACCAAUCAGUGCUGAAGCAAACGCGAUAAGUCUACCGCCUGGGGAGUACGGUCGCAAGAUUAAAACUCAAAAGAAUUGACGGA